CCUGCAGCAGCAGCGGGGUACUGAAGAUCAUUCAAUUGUUCUUGGAAGGAGUUGAAACCCCCUUGCAACUCCUGCACCGCCAGGGUUAAAGCGUCUAAUUGCUGGGACAACAAGGCGAGAGUAUUGGGUUCCUCUUCUUGAUCCAUUUUAUGGCCUGGUUAUUCUGUCAGGCUUACCAGGUAGGAUCAGACGUGUAGAGAGAGAGACCCACGAGCGCCCCACACAGCCUAAGCUCACCUGAGGAUGGUACAGGGAACUGAGGGAGUGACGAGUAGCCGGUGAGGCCGGAAACGAGGUACACAAGGAUGAGACGAAGGCUUGGUCAGGCAGAUCCGGGUCGAGUCAGGCAGCAGAGGUUCUUAAACGGUAAACAGGCCAAAGUCAGGAACAGAGAGUAGUCGGAAAGUCAAAAGCAGAACAGGGUCAAACCGAAGUAUCAGGAACAGGAACAGGCUAGGUAUCUUAGGAGUGGACCGUGAUAACCAGGCACUGAUAGGCAUUGUAACCAGCUUUAAAUAGCCCAGGGGGAAGGGCGUCAAGACGCACGCAAUGCACCUGACGUGCGUCAAGACGCACGCCGCGUAACGCUAUACGCGCGCGUAAUUUCACCGUACGUGCUCGUGAAAAGUCGCCGCGCAUGUACGCAACCCGUCUCAAUGGAUGCGCGCGCAUAAUCGCGCGCGCACCAGGACGAGCGCGAGAAUGCGCACAAUGCGACGCGACGUUCAGGCCGCGACACGCACUGAGCGACGAAAACCAUGCCGACGGCGGACAACGCGGCGAACACGGUGAGUAUCCUUACACCAACCUUCUAAAACAAAUCACAACCAUAAACCAAACACUCGGUAAGACACUGGUGGUGCACUAGAGUACUUCUAUGGCCACACAACAGUGCCUCUGGCCUUGGGGUUAGGUUAAUACUUAGCUGUCUGUGAAAUAAAUCAGUGACCUCUAGAUAUUAUAUUCCAUUUGAUUAUACAUUUUUCUUUGUAGAUAAGCAGAAAGCCAACUUUCUAACACAAAUGACAGCUAUAAAAAAGACACUGGAUAAGGACAAAGCCAACUUUCUAACACAAAUCAGGACAAUAAACCAGACACUGGGUAAGC